ACAGUGUUCAAUGGCCUCUUUAUAGAACUGGUCACCCAGCCUGAAUCCAGGAAAUCGUGAAAACAAGAACGCAGAUAGUCAAACAACACUAACCAACCCAAGACUCUGGAGGAGCUGCAGAGAUCCACAAAUGAGGUAGGAGGAUCUGCAAGAAAAAUAUUUGUCAAAAGGAAAAGCCGUCCAGAAGGAACACGGCAAACACGUUGAAGACGAUGCUCUGAUCAGAGAAUAAAUUCAUCAUGUAGGCCUACAGUCAAAAAAAACAACAAAAAACCAUGCUGCAGGAACAAAAUAUUAACGUAGUAAAAAAAAAUGUUAGCAGCGAGAUCUGUAUUUUUAUUGCUUUAAUGGGAAAAUGGGUGGAUUUCUCCCAGAUUUCUUACGUUUUUUUUUCUUCUUUGUCAUCCAACUGUGGCUUUGAUAUCAGGCAGAGACAAAAUACAAGAAAACCACAAAGCCAAGGUUUCAAACCUAACUUGGCCCUUUGUGAAAAUACAAUUGCCUCCUUGUUAAAUCAGGAA